rnacentral:rRNA from 1 species
AUUGAACGCUGGCGGCAUGCCUUACACAUGCAAGUCGAACGGUAACGGGCCUUCGGGUGCCGACGAGUGGCGCACGGGUGAGUAAUACAUCGGAACGUGCCCGAUCGUGGGGGAUAACGAGGCGAAAGCUUUGCUAAUACCGCAUACGAACUACGGAUGAAAGCAGGGGACCGCAAGGCCUUGCGCGGACGGGGCGGCCGAUGGCAGAUUAGGUAGUUGGUGGGGUAAAAGCUUACCAAGCCGACGAUCUGUAGCGGGUCUGAGAGGAUGAACAGCCACACUGGGACUGAGACACGGCCCAGACUCCUACGGGAGGCAGCAGUGGGGAAUUUUGGACAAUGGGCGCAAGCCUGAUCCAGCCAUGCCGCGUGCAGGAUGAAGGCCUUCGUGUUGUAAACUGCUUUUGUACGGAACGAAAAGCCUUCUUUUAAUACAGGAGGGUCAUGACGGUACCGUAAGAAUAAGCACCGGCUAACUACGUG